AGUCAGACUCCAGACCACACAAAUCCUUUGAAUGUUGUCUGACUACAUCUGCUGGGAUUGGAUCUCCCCAGCAGGAAGCAUGGGCUUUCUUGGCAUCAUGGUACAAGCAGCACUGGGAUCCAUCAGUGGUGAGAAUGGAAAUAAAGGGAAAUGGUUCCCUCCAUAGCUGUUGCACUGCACACAGAGCCAGUCUGCCUCUCAGCAAUGCCACCGAGUAGAACAGGCACAAAGGAGUAUUCUGGAGUGUCACCUCUCAUGGGCAGGACAAACGACUUCCAUUGACUUCCAUCCACUUCCUAAAGGUAUGGUUGUUCAGAGACAAUGUUACCCACAGCAUCAUAUAACAUUCUGCUAACUUAUUUUCACAGAAUUUUAUACAUGUUGUCCACAUGCAUAUCAAAGAUCAUGAUUUUUUAGCUAGGUAUUCACCUUUAACUGCUUCCUGAAUAGUACAAAGAAAAGAAACAAAUAACUCUUCUAAAAGAAACUUGUUGUUCAAGGCCAAUAUAUUUGCAGCCACCCCUUUCUCUAUGUAGCACGGAGAAUCAUUAUAAAAAAAUGACAAAAAAGAAAAACAAGGUAGUGUUAAUAAAACAACUUGACAGAAGCCA
rnacentral:lncRNA from 1 species